rnacentral:rRNA from 1 species
UACGUAGGGGGCUAGCGUUGUCCGGAAUCAUUGGGCGUAAAGCGCGUGUAGGCGGCUCGCUAAGUCCGCUGUGAAAGUCGGGGGCUCAACCCUCGGAUGCCGGUGGAUACUGUCGGGCUAGAGUACGGAAGAGGCGAGUGGAAUUCCUGGUGUAGCGGUGAAAUGCGCAGAUAUCAGGAGGAACACCAAUUGCGAAGGCAGCUCGCUGGGACGUUACUGACGCUGAGACGCGAAAGCGUGGGGAGCAACCAGG